rnacentral:rRNA from 1 species
AAGAAGCACCGGCUAACUACGUGCCAGCAGCCGCGGUAAUACGUAGGGUGCGAGCGUUAAUCGGAAUUACUGGGCGUAAAGCGUGCGCAGGCGGCUUUUUAAGCCAGAUGUGAAAUCCCCGGGCUUAACCUGGGAACUGCAUUUGUGACUGGAAGGCUAGAGUGUAGCAGAGGGGGGUAGAAUUCCACGUGUAGCAGUGAAAUGCGUAGAUAUGUGGAGGAAUACCGAUGGCGAAGGCAGCCCCCUGGGUUAACACUGACGCUCAUGCACGAAAGCGUGGGGAGCAA